UGUAGCUGACCUAUGGGUGUGCAAACCUCAGUAGAAUAGCAGUCUUUUGUCAUUAUAGAUAACUAUGGUUUUCACUGUGAUGCCUUUUCAAAAAUGCCUCUUCAGGAAGACUUAUAAAAAGGACUUUUGGAUAAAUACAAGUUUCUGAUUUUCAUACCAUACUGCUAAACUGGUCUACAGGUAUAAAGUAGACACUUUCCAAAGAAGAACAAGGAAGACAAAUCUCAACAUUUGGAAUCCUGGCAGUGAUGGCAGUCACUCCCAGAUGAUCCACGUGAUGAAGCAGUUAGAAUGAUCACCACCUAUUUCCCACAAGAUUGUGUAAUGGACAUUGACUGGGGUCACUGACAGUCUGGCAUCUUCUCAGUCUGCCAGUUUUCUGAAUAAAGUCAUUCCUUGCCUCAA